GUUUACUGUUCUUCUUCGAUCGAUUAUCCCUCGCCAUGUCAACGGCGGCGCUGGUGGCGUGGCUCGCCCGCGACGUAUCGGCCGCGCGAGCCGCCGCCCACUUAGCCGCGGCCGCCGCAUCUCGUGCCGCGCGCUCCUCGGCGGUCGCGUCUCGUCCUUGUGCACGCUCGGCGGCCGUCGCAGCACGUCGCGCAGCACGCCAAGCCGCCGUCGCCGCAUCUCGCGCCGCACACGCGGUAUGUUACCUCGACGACUACGAGCCAUCAGGUGCCUUUUUGACGGAUUUUGAUGAGUCUGGUGACGAUUUUACGGACAAGGAUUUUGAGUCUGAUGAAGCUAUAUGGGCCUUGUAUGAGCGCUGGUGCAAGGCUUACGAUAAGAAGCGUGACCUUGCUGAGAUGACUCACCGGUUCAAGAUAUUCAAGCAAAAUGCAGAGGCUCUUCACAGAUCCAACGAGGGUGCUUCAAAAUAUGAGAAAAUAUAUUGUGGCCCAUACUGCGAUGGGUUCGAUGAGCAAGAGAGGGCUGAAGCUCUGCUUAAGUUUCGCCAUUUUCCCAGAGUUUGCGAAUAUAUAGAGUCGUUGGAGAUCGUCUUCCCAAAGUCGCGGGAGGUUGACUCCCCAAAUCAAUCCCCAUGAAUCACCUUUGAUCCCAAAACUGUAGACCAUCGUCAAAAAAAUGCCAUUGCUCAAAUGCCACUCUCAAAUUUUCAUUCUCAAAUAUCACCCACAUGUCAGUCUCUUUUUCCAUUUAAACAAAAGUGAUGUGAGACCAAAUGAUGUGCAAGGCUGACAUAUGGGUCUAAAUGACAUUUGGGAAUGAAAUUUUGGGAGAGUGGCAUUUGAAUACUGGUAAUUUGGGAGGAUGAAAAGAAAAGUAAAUUAUUCCCCUUAUGUGUAACAGCUUAUUUGUGUACUAAGCUUUGCCCUGGAAAACCGCAAUAAAUUAUAUUGCAUAAUAAAUUAUACUGUGUAGUUCAUGUUAACU
rnacentral:lncRNA from 1 species